CUAGCGCGGUGGUCCCACCUGACCCCAUGCCGAACUCAGAAGUGAAACGCCGUAGCGCCGAUGGUAGUGUGGGGUCUCCCCAUGCGAGAGUAGGGA
rnacentral:rRNA from 59 species